rnacentral:tRNA from 1 species
GGCCUCGUAGCUCAGCUGGUAGAGAAUGCGCGCUCAAAGGAUAGGCGGGAUCAAUGCGUGGGUUCGAAUCCCACCGAGGUUA